rnacentral:lncRNA from 1 species
AAGCAAAAAUGCUGUUCAUUUAAGUGUCUAGAGUGAUACCUGGUCAGUAGCACUGAAUAACAUUUAUUAUUCGUGCUAUUUUAUAUUAUUAUCAUUUAAAAAAUGUUUUGUCGUUUUCCUAGUAGCUGGGACUACGGGCAUGAGCCAUUGUGCCCAGCUCGUAAAAAUAAUUACAUCAUUUAAUACAAGUAAAGGGCUUAGAGCAA